rnacentral:rRNA from 1 species
GGGUGCAGCAGGCGCGAAACCUUUGCAAUAGGCGAAAGCCUGACAGGGUUACUUUGAGUGAUUCCCGCUAAGGGGAUCUUUUGGCACCUAUAAAAAUGGUGCAGAAUAAGGGGUGGUGCAAGCCUGGUGUCAGCCGCCGCGGUUAUACUAGCACCCCGAGUGGUAGGGAUGAUUAUUGGGCGUAAAGCAUCUUUAGCCGGGCACCCAAGUCCUCCGUUAAAUCCACCCGGUCAACGGGUGGUCUGCGGAGGAUAUUAAGUGGCUAUGAGGUGGGAGAGGCUAGCGGUACUCAAUGUGUAGGGGUAACAUCCUAUGAUCCAUUGAAGACCUCCCGUGGCGAAGGUGGGUUGCCAGAACGCGCUUGACGGUGAGGGAUGAAAGCUGGGGGAGCAAACCGGAUUAGAUACCCGGGUAGUCCCAGCUGUAUAACGAUGCAGACUCGGUGAUGGGAUGGCCUCGAGCCAUCCCAGUGCCGCAGGGAAGCCGUUAAGUCUGCCGCCUGGGGAGUACGGUCGCAAGACUGAAACUUAAAGGAAUU